AUUGAACGCUGGCGGCAGGCCUAACACAUGCAAGUCGAACGAGUGGCGGACGGGUGAGUAAUGUCUGGGAAACUGCCCGAUGGAGGGGGAUAACUACUGGAAACGGUAGCUAAUACCGCAUACCAUCGGAUGUGCCCAGAUGGGAUUGGCUAGUAGGUGGGGUAACGGCUCACCGAGGCGACGAUCCCUGGCUGGUCUGAGAGGAUGACCAGCAAAACUGGAACGGGAACACGGUCCAGACUCCAAGGGGAGGCAGAAGUGGGGAAUAUGGAACAAUGGGCGAAAGCCUGAUGAAGCCAUGCGGGGUGUAUGAAGAAGGCCUUCGGGUUGUAAAGUACUUUCAUCGAGGAGGCGUUACUAGAAGAAGAAGCACCGGCUAACUCCGUGCCAGAGCCGCGGUAAUAC
rnacentral:rRNA from 1 species